rnacentral:miRNA from 1 species
UGUACAUAUAUGUAUAUAUAUGUAUGUAUGUAUACAUAUAUGAAUAUAUACACAUAUAUACACAUGUGUAUAUAUGUAUAUAUACACACAUAUAUAUGAAUAUAUACAUACAUAUA